rnacentral:tRNA from 1 species
GGAAAGAUGGCUGAGUGGAUUAAAGCAACGGAUUGCUAAUCCGCUGUACUAGUUCUUUGUACCGAGGGUUCGAAUCCCUUUCUUUCCU